rnacentral:lncRNA from 10 species
ACUUGCUCCACUCCACCCAGCAACCUCUAAUCUGCCGUGAUGGGACCUUGAGCCAAGGGAUUUGGGUGUGUAAAGGACUUCUGCAGCAAAGAGUACCUCUAGAAAUUGCUUUUGUGAGGUUCUUUGAGGUGCUAAUCACCUUUUAUUUGAAUUGCUCUGACUUAUCAUUUAAUAACUCCAGAGGACUUUUUACUUCCUUGGCAGGAGGAGGAAGGUGAUUCCUCAGAUAAAACCAAAACCUAGAGCUGCACUUCUGAAGGAAAUUGCUGCUCAGGUAGGGCUGGAUGUGUAGGUGUUCUCCAUGGGCCCAUGCUGUGCCUGUACCAGCGUCCUGAAUUGACGGCAGCAGAGGGGUAUCUUUCUUCAUUCUUCAUCAUUUAUUACCUGAGGCAGAAUGAAUACUUGGCUCCAUUCGCUCGCUCUCUUUCUUUCUGCAACAAUUAGAACUGAAUUAUUUGCUUCUUGCUUUCCCUUUUCCCACUUGUUCCACCAUUCAUAUCUAAGUGAGUAACUUCUCAAGUUUUUCUACACUAAUGUUUCCUGGUUCUGUAAAGCAAGUGAUAAUUGAGUGGUCUUAAUCCCUUGAAAUGGAACUGAAAAUCUGGAGGUAGCUACAUCAGCAAAGAGGGAGUGGCAGCCUUUUUUGUACAUUUCACUUCCUUUCAGGACCUCCCAGAGAAGACCUCUGAUAAACUUUUUUAGUCCUAGGUAAAGCCUGAAAGUCAACUGAGUACAGCUGCCAUUUUUAUUUCACCUUCUUCUUUCCACCUGCCAAUCACCCAGCAGUGAGCUUUAAGUCAUCAGACAUCGUUGUGCCUACCUCAAGGGUGUGUACAGUGGUGUAUACAGUGCCUGGCACAGAGUUAGACUCAAUGAGUGACUGAAUGAAUGAAUGAGCGAGUAAGUGAUUAAGUGAGCUCACAUUACUAUCAACUCAAAGUCACACUUUCUGGUGAUCUCUCCUGAGUCUUAAAUU